AUACGGAGGGGGUUAGCGUUGUUCGGAAUUACUGGGCGUAAAGCGCACGUAGGCGGACUGGAAAGUUGGGGGUGAAAUCCCGGGGCUCAACCCCGGAACUGCCUCCAAAACUUCCAAUCUAGAGAUCGAGAGAGGUGAGUGGAAUUCCAAGUGUAGAGGUGAAAUUCGUAGAUAGUUGGAGGAACACCAGUGGCGAAGGCGGCUCACUGGCUCGAUACUGACGCUGAGGUGCGAAAGCGUGGGGAGCAAACAGAAUUAGAAACCCUAGUAGUCC
rnacentral:rRNA from 1 species